rnacentral:tRNA from 1 species
GCACUGGUGGUUCAGUGGUAGAAUUCUUGCCUUCCAAGUGGGAGACCCAGGUUCGAUUCCCAGCCAGUGCA